rnacentral:rRNA from 1 species
AGCAGCCGCGGUAAUUCCAGCUCCAAUAGCGUAUAUUAAAGUUGUUGCAGUUAAAAAGCUCGUAGUUGAAUUUUGGAUUUCUACCAAUUGGUCCAUCUUUUAGAUGAGUACUGGUUGUGUGGGGUCUAUCCGCCUGGUGAUACGUAAUGUCCUUUAUUGGAUGUUGCGGGUAGUCAGGACCUUUACCUUGAAAAAAUUAGAGUGUUUAAAGCAGGCUUAUGCCGGAAUACAUUAGCAUGGAAUAAUAGAAUAGGACGAAGUUGUUUUAUUUUGUUGGUUUCUAGGACAACCGUAAUGAUUAAUAGGGAUAGUUGGGGGCAUUAGUAUUCAAUUGUCAGAGGUGAAAUUCUUGGAUUUAUUGAAGACUAACUACUGCGAAAGCAUUUGCCAAGGAUGUUUUCAUUAAUCAAGAACGAAAGUUAGGGGAUCGAAGACGAUCAGAUACCGUCG